UACGUAGGGUGCUAGCGUUGUCCGGAAUCAUUGGGCGUAAAGCGCGUGUAGGCGGCUGGCUAAGUCCGCUCUGAAAGCCCGGGGCUCAACCCCGGGAGGCGGGUGGAUACUGGUCAGCUCGAGUCCGGAAGAGGAGUGUGGAAUUCCUGGUGUAGCGGUGAAAUGCGCAGAUAUCAGGAAGAACACCCGUGGCGAAAGCGGCUCUCUGGGACGGUACUGACGCUGAGACGCGAAAGCGUGGGGAGCGAACAGG
rnacentral:rRNA from 1 species